rnacentral:lncRNA from 1 species
UGUCCUCUCUUCUUUUCUCAGGUGGUCCAUAUUAGUGAACAUAUUGUUUUUUGUUUUCUCUUUAUAAGAUCUGCAUUUGCUGUCCCAGCAGUGUCUAACUUGAUGUCCUCUGCAAAUUUAACAAAUAUGUCGUCUUUUCCAUCAUGUGGUCAACCCCGGGAUCACCACCGAACAUCCUUCUCGACUUCUCCAAUCCAUGGAUCUUGAUCUCUGUUGUCCAUUCCACCAAAUGUCCUCAAACCUGGCAGAAAAGGGAAAAGGCUAAUGCUCCAGGGCUGCAUCACUGUGGGCACGCCAAGCUUCCCUGGUUACCUGAGCUGCUCCUGCGGUGUCCCCCGCAUCGGCUUCGCCAGGGUGCACUGGAACCCCGAGUCGCGGUCUGCGCCAUGCCGAAGAAGGACCUGCUCCGGAGCUCUGGCCGGGGCCCCUCACAGCUGCAAGAGGGUGACGCCGCAGAAGACCCGGGGUGGGACGGGUAGAGAGGACGCCAAGGACCGGGGACGGGGAGUUAGGAGUCCAUCCUGUGCCCGCUGGUCGUCCGCGGGGCGAGGGCAGCCGUGGCCCCUGCCGCGGGCACCCAGCUUGGGCUGCUCCCAGCGAUUAAUCUGGGGGGGGGGGUGGAGAGAACCAAGCCGAGAUGUGGUGGCAUUUUACCUGAGUGGAGCUGAAGAUGGAUAA